rnacentral:piRNA from 1 species
UCUUGAAGAUGAAUUGGGCUC